rnacentral:rRNA from 1 species
GACGAACGCUGGCGGCGUGCUUAACACAUGCAAGUCGAACGGAAAGGCCCUGCUUUUGUGGGGUGCUCGAGUGGCGAACGGGUGAGUAACACGUGAGUAACCUGCCCUUGACUUUGGGAUAACUUCAGGAAACUGGGGCUAAUACCGGAUAGGAGCUCCUGCUGCAUGGUGGGGGUUGGAAAGUUUCGGCGGUUGGGGAUGGACUCGCGGCUUAUCAGCUUGUUGGUGGGGUAGUGGCUUACCAAGGCUGUGACGGGUAGCCGGCCUGAGAGGGUGACCGGCCACAUUGGGACUGAGGUACGGACCAGAGGGCUACGGGAGGCAGCAGUGGGGAGUAUUGCACAAUGGGCGGAAGCCUGAUGCAGCAACGCCGCGUGCGUGAUGACGGCCUUCUGGUUAUAAACCGCUUUCGCCUGUGACGAAGCGUGAGUGACGGUAAUGGGUAAAGAAGCACCGGCUAACUACGUG